GCUCAACCGGGGAGGGUCAUUGGAAACUGGGGAACUUGAGUGCAGAAGAGGAGAGUGGAAUUCCACGUGUAGCGGUGAAAUGCGUAGAGAUGUGGAGGAACACCAGUGGCGAAGGCGACUCUCUGGUCUGUAACUGACGCUGAGGCGCGAAAGCGUGGGGAGCGAACAGGAUUAGAUACCCUGGUAGUCCACGCCGUAAACGAUGAGUGCUAAGUGUUAGAGGGUUUCCGCCCUUUAGUGCUGCAGCAAACGCAUUAAGCACUCCGCCUGGGGAGUACGGCCGCAAGGCUGAAACUCAAAGGAAUUGACGGGGACCCGCACAAGCAGUGGAGCAUGUGGUUUAAUUCGAAGCAACGCGAAGAACCUUACCAGGUCUUGACAUCCUUUGACCACCCAAGAGAUUGGGCUUCCCCUUCGGGGGCAAAGUGACAGGUGGUGCAUGGUUGUCGUCAGCUCGUGUCGUGAGAUGUUGGGUUAAGUCCCGCAACGAGCGCAACCCUUGAUCUUAGUUGCCAGCAUUAAGUUGGGCACUCUAAGGUGACUGCCGGUGACAAACCGGAGGAAGGUGGGGAUGACGUCAAAUCAUCAUGCCCCUUAUGACCUGGGCUACACACGUGCUACAAUGGAUGGUACAAAG
rnacentral:rRNA from 1 species